CCAAAGGCUGAAUAUUCUCAUCCCAACACAGGAUCUGAAAUGUGUCAGGUAGGUUUAAAAAAUGGUGGGCAGGACCUGAAUCUGGGAUUCCCACCCCCAUUCCUAGCACCAGCAAUUCUCAGCAGUGUGGGAUAAGGGUGCAUGUUGGAAGCCUGCCAGUUGAUGUCCUGACAUUACCGGCACCAGUGGGUAUUUCAGACUGACCACAAUUUUCACGGAGUCAGGCAGAUUUUGGAAGGCAAUGUGAAACACACCAGCAAUGAAGUAUCGUGAACCAUGGGGGACCCUUGAUGUGGAGUCAGAAACCAUGUCAAAGGUAUCAGGGCAAUGAAAAUUCUGGAGGAGCAGAGGCAACUGAGACAGCAACUGCUUAAUUUCCACUACACACGUGUAGACAUUGAAUGUGGGCCAUUAUGUUGAAUAUAAAGCAAAACUGUAUUGUGGACAAAAAUCGAUAGGCAACCAGAUUAUCAUAGGGCAAAUACCCCUUUACAAGCUAUGAGAGAGACAGCAUCGGAACAACAGAAAGUUGUCCUAUAUGAGUGGGCUGCGAUUGAACACAAUUCACAAAGAGGGUAGGCAUGCUCCUCCCAACACAACUGCUCAACACAACAGUGUUGUCUUCGCCAACAGCUUGUAGAACAUAUCAAACAACCUGUACAACAUACUAUACCAACAUAAAAUUAUGCUGUGGAAGAAAACUGCAAGUAAGAAUUCCAUAUUGAUCCACUUCACAGAACUGGAACACCAACAUAUGAUCUUUCCAAAUUGCCCUGUCCUGCUGAAUGUUAUACUAUAAUUUAAGAUUUAUUGCUAACUUUUGAACAUGUGCAUUUUAGGGCAGAACUCAUUACAUUUUAUACAACCAAAUGCCUGCCUUAUUUACAAUGAUUACUGUGUGCAUGUAUU